rnacentral:rRNA from 1 species
GAUGAACGCUGGCGGCGUGCUUAACACAUGCAAGUCGAACGGAAAGGCUCCUGCUUGCAGGGGUACUCGAGUGGCGAACGGGUGAGUAACACGUGGGUGAUCUGCCCUGCACUUCGGGAUAAGCCUGGGAAACUGGGUCUAAUACCGGAUAGGACGAUGGUUUGGAUGCCAUUGUGGAAAGUUUUUUCGGUGUGGGAUGAGCUCGCGGCCUAUCAGCUUGUUGGUGGGGUAAUGGCCUACCAAGGCGUCGACGGGUAGCCGGCCUGAGAGGGUGUACGGCCACAUUGGGACUGAGAUACGGACCAGACUCCUACGGGAGGCAGCAGGGGGGAAUAUUGCACAAUGGGCGCAAGCCUGAUGCAGCGACGCCGCGUGGGGGAUGACGGCCUUCGGGUUGUAAACUCCUUUCGCUAGGGACGAAGCGCAAGUGACGGUACCUGGAGAAGAAGCACCGGCUAACUACGUG